rnacentral:rRNA from 1 species
CAAGUCUGGUGCCAGCAGCCGCGGUAAUUCCAGCUCCAAUAGCGUAUAUUAAAGUUGUUGCAGUUAAAAAGCUCGUAGUUGAAUUUCGGGAUCAACACGUCGGUCGUGCCACUGGUAUGAACUGGCGUCGUUGAUUUCUCCUUUCUGAGGAACCAUGAUGUCAUUAAUUUGGUGUGGUGGGAAAUCAGGACUGUUACUUUGAAAAAAUUAGAGUGUUUAAAGCAGGCCUACGCUUGAAUACAUUAGCAUGGAAUAAUGAAAUAGGACGUUCGAACCUAUUUUGUUGGUUUCUAGGAUCAACGUAAUGAUUAAUAGGGAUAGUUGGGGGCAUUAGUAUUCAAUUGUCAGAGGUGAAAUUCUUGGAUUUAUUGAAGACUAACUACUGCGAAAGCAUUUGCCAAGGAUGUUUUCAUUAAUCAAGAACGAAAGUUAGGGGAUCGAAGACGAUCAGAUACCGUCGUAGUCUUAACCAUAAACUAUGCCGACUAGGGAUCGGAUGAUGUUAAUUUUUUAAUGACUCAUUCGGCGCCUU